rnacentral:rRNA from 1 species
GACGAACGCUGGCGGCGUGCUUAACACAUGCAAGUCGAACGAUGAAGCCUUUCGGGGUGGAUUAGUGGCGAACGGGUGAGUAACACGUGGGCAAUCUGCCCUGUACUUUGGGAUAAGCCUUGGAAACGAGGUCUAAUACCGGAUAUGAUGAGUCCUCGCAUGGGGGUUUGUUGAAAGUCCCGGCGGUACAGGAUGAGCCCGCGGCCUAUCAGCUUGUUGGUGGGGUAAUGGCCUACCAAGGCGACGACGGGUAGCCGGCCCUGAGAGGGCGACCGGCCACACUGGGACUGAGACACGGCCCAGACUCCUACGGGAGGCAGCAGUGGGGAAUAUUGCACAAUGGGCGAAAGCCUGAUGCAGCGACGCCGCGUGAGGGAUGACGGCCU